rnacentral:misc_RNA from 1 species
ACAAAGAGGAGUUACUCUAGUAGCCUUUCUCCAAAGGGAAGGAAGAACUCGAGGAGAAGAUACCAUGGUGGCUCGUCUAGGAGCCCAAGCGUGAGUUAUAGCUCUGGGUAUGUUUCUCGGUCUGUUACCCCUAGGUCUGCUUCUCCAUCAUAUUGAGAGGAAGUGGAAGUGUGUGCUAGUGAUCGCUCUGUAGGAUCGGUGCCAUGCCCUAUGAGGUGUUCUAGUCUUGGCAUGAUAAACAGUUUAGUGUACUUUUUUA